UGAACGCUGGCGGCGUGCCUAACACAUGCAAGUCGAACGAAGCAUCUUGCCCGACAAGCGGAGUGCUUGCACAAAGCGAGUCAAUUAAGAUGACUUAGUGGCGGACGGGUGAGUAACGCGUGGGUAACCUGCCCUAUACAGGGGGAUAACAGUUAGAAAUGACUGCUAAUACCGCAUAAGCGCACAGUAUCGCAUGAUACAGUGUGAAAAGCCGAGACGGUAUAGGAUGGACCCGCGUCUGAUUAGCCAGUUGGGCAGGGUAACGGCCUACCAAAGCAACGAUCAGUAGCCGGCCUGAGAGGGUGAACGGCCACAUUGGGACUGAGACACGGCCCAAACUCCUACGGGAGGCAGCAGUGGGGGAUAUUGCACAAUGGGGGAAACCCUGAUGCAGCGAACCGCCGCGUGAGCGAUGAAGUAUUUCGGUAUGUAAAGCUCUAUCAGCAGGGAAGAAAAUGACGGUACCUGACUAAGAAGCUCCGGCUAAAUACGUGCCAGCAGCCGC
rnacentral:rRNA from 1 species